AUUGGGAGAGUUGACCACCCAAGAUCAUACUUUAUGGAUAUGAACAUUCAUCUUUCAAUUAGGAUUCAUUCAGUUUCAUCAUUUCGAGCACUCUUAUGCCUCAAACCCCUACACAUCUCUGUUAAAAUAAAAUCCCAUUAGUCAUCUAACUGUCCUAAUAUCCCCUCAUAGUCAUUAAAUUGUUUUGAAGUGUUCUUAACACCUUCUCCUUUGCAUGUGUCUGUUUUCAAAAUUGAAACAUCAGUGUUUGGAAGUUUUUCAGUGGUUAUUAAAGUGUUGACUCUGGAGGACUGUUUACAGCUGGAAAUCUAAAGAUUUUUCUCAUCAAUGUACACAAUAAGGACCCCAUUCUUAUCUACAGGAUAUACAUUAAAAGCAGAAUUGAGAAUGUCACAUGCUGGGUUGAGAAUGACACGCCAACAAACUCUCUAAUGGAGGAGACUGUACCCAUGAAAAAUGCAAUAAACUAUCUUGUGUGA
ensembl:lncRNA novel transcript